rnacentral:tRNA from 1 species
GACGUUAUUGCUUAAAUGGUAGAGUGCAUGCUUAGCAUGCAUGAAGUUCGGAGUUCAAUCCUCAGUACCUCCA